GGCGUGAUCUUGGCUCACAGCAACCUCCGCCUCCCAGGUUCAAGCGAUUCUUCUGCCUUAGCCCCUGGAGUAGCUGAGGAUUACAGGCAUGCACCACCACGCCCGGCUAAUAUUGUAUUUUUAGUAGAGGCAGAGUUUCUCCAUGUUGGUCAGGCUGGUCACGAAUCCCGGACCUCAGGUGAUCCGCUCGCCUCAGCCUCCCAAAGUGCUGGGAUUACAGGCGGGAGCCACCAUGCCCUGCCCUGAGUGGACAUUGUUAACCUCUUGUUUUAAAUCAGCCGUUGUUGCUUUCCAUCUUCUCUCCCGAGCUGUUUUCCUCAGCAGUGGGGGCCGGCUCUUGCCCCUGCUGGGAAUCCCAGUAAGGCAUCCCCUUUUCUGACUACAUUCUCCUUUUUUAGCCCCAGGACCAAAUUACCAUCACAGGGUACGAAAAGAACACAGAAGCUGCCAGGGACGCUAUAUUGAGAAUUGUGGGUGAACUUGAGCAGAUGGUUUCUGAGGACGUCCCGCUGGACCACCGCGUUCAUGCCCGCAUCAUCGGUGCCCGCGGCAAAGCCAUUCGCAAAAUCAUGGACGAAUUCAAGGUGGACAUUCGCUUCCCACAGAGUGGAGCCCCGGACCCCAACUGCGUCACUGUGACGGGGCUCCCA
rnacentral:sRNA from 1 species